UUAAAUCCAAAAUAAGAAGUAAAUAUAUGAUAAUGGCUUACCGAUUAGGCAUGAAUUAUACACAAAUCAGCAGAUAUAUGAUAUAUCGAAAAUAUCAAAACGAUGAUUGUUGUGGAUGGUGGUUCUUAUACUACAAAGAUGAUAAGUUAAGAACAGAAGCGGGUGAUGUAGGUGUAUGAGGAAGGAGAGGCUGAUGCGGAAGGUAGAGUUUCAAGCGGAGAUAACAAGGAGGGUAAGGGAUGAUCGGAUGAAACUAAGAAUGUAGUAUCACUUUUUGUUCUAAUAAGAUUUUAUGCCAGAAAUUGUCAUGGGCCGUGG
rnacentral:lncRNA from 1 species